GGGCGGCGGGCGCCGCGCGGCAGUGUCGCGGAGAGCGGCGCGCGGAGUGGGCUGCACUUAGUACUGUUGCGAGAUGCGUACGAGCUUGUGGGCCUCGGCGGCGGCCGCGCUGCUGACGCUGACAGCAGCCUCACCGCGAAGACUCGACCAGGACUUUGAGUUCGACGAUACUCCGGAGGCACCGCUGACGCAUGCGCGCCGACCUCGCAGAUAUGUUUAUGAUCCUGAAAAUCCAAUGUGUCGUACACUCGUUUGUAAAAAGCGCGAAGUCUGUCUUUUGCGCGACGCUUUCACCGCUCUGUGCUCAAACAAGAAAGACGUACUACGCAGAGGGGAUAUAAUAGUAGCGGGCACAGUCAGCGCCUGGGACCGGGGUGAUGACGAAGACGUGUUUUACGAAACACGUUCCUCGGAUCACACUUCAUCCGUACACUCUUCUUCCGAUAGAUGCGUGGGCUGCGGCGGGGCCGCCCGUGCCGCCUUCCUGUGCGGCUCCGACAACCGCACGUACUCGUCGCUGUGCCGCCUGGACCUGCACAACUGCGUGCACCGCACGGCGCCGCCCGUGCGACUCGCCUGCCGCGGGUUCUGUCCGUGCGCGCGCACGCCGCGCCCCGCGCACGCGCCUCGCCCGCACCGCGUCCGCGCCGCCUACGACGAGGAUCGACGACGUCGCCGCCUCGAAUCACAAAAUGAAGUCUUGCCAGAACGCUCAUUCCGGCGACAGUCACAAGACGCGGAAGGUUGCGCUUUGGAUAAAAUGGCCAACCGUCUGUUGGACUGGUUCUCGGUGCUGAUGGAUGAAGCCGGCGGUAUUCCACCACCACAGGAAGGUUUUCCCCACGACUGCAAGGCUGAAGUUCGCUGGAUGUUCUCACAUCUAGACGCAGCCGGCGACGGUAUUCUGUCGUCCGCCGAUCUCUACGCCCUACGGCACGACGAGCGCGAGCGCUGCCUGCGGCCCUUCCUGGCGUCGUGCGGGGGCGCGGGCGAGGCGGGCGCGGCGGGCGCGGCGGGCGCGGCGGGCCUGUCGCGCGCCGCGUGGUGCGCGUGCCUGCGCCGCGCCGCGCGCCCGUGCGCCGCGCUGGCUCGGGCGCACCCCGCUCCGCCGCCAGGCGCCUACGUGCCGUCGUGCGACGCGCGCGGGUUCUACCGCCCGCGGCAGUGCCACGCGGCGCUGGGCGUGUGCUGGUGCGUGGACGCGCACGGCGUGGAGCGCGUCGGCUCGCGCACGAAGGGGGCGCCGCUGUGUCCCGGCGAAAACGAGACCAACGACGCCUCCAGCGACGAGACGAGCGAGAGCGAGGGCGGCGGGGAGGCGCGCGCGGGGGAGGGCGGGCCGGACGACGACGAGGACGCGCCGGGCAGCGGCGACCGCGAAAACGAGCUGCGGUUCUAGUUACACGCUCGCGGGGCGUUAUGCCGCCAACCUAUUGUGCGGCUCAAAAAUUUUAUCGUUAACAAUGGUUUUCUGCACAGGAAGAUCCCACGUCACUUGCUGGGAAAAUGAAGACUACAUCAUAAAGAACCCAUUAACGUAAUUUCGUUAAUUUAUUUAGAAUGAAUAGAUGGUAGACAUCAGUUUGAAUAUGGCAAUAUGAACAAGUACUUAAUAUUAUACUUUUUAACUUCUAAACGACAAAACUGUAUAAAAAUGUACCUAUUGAAAAACAGGCCUAUUAAAAUAUUUAUUUUUCAGUACAAACACAAAACGUAAGAAAUCACGAGAAUGUUUUCAUAAGUAUCUUAAGAUAUAAUACUAAGUUCAUUUGUUAAUAAAAUAACGUUUUUACAACUACUAGGAGCUUAAUGACCAUAAUUGUAUUGUGAUUCAAUAAUAUUACAGUCGGAGUAAUAACUUGGUUAGUUUAAAUGCCGAAAAUUAUAAAUCCUUAAACAGGCCUAAAUAAAGAAGAAAUUGCCCCAUGAUUUUAAUAUAUCUUAUCCAAUGAUUGAUCCUAACGUCUUUAGCCUUUAUAAAUUAAUCAUAGUAUUUAAAAACAAUAACUUAUCAAACAUUAAAAAUAUUUCGAAUAAACAUUAUAUAAUUGUGUAACAAGCUUGUGAAUGUUUAACUAGCUUGUAAUAUAGAGCUAGGACAAAAACACCUAGGCCAUAGUAUUUCAUACUAACUUCAUAUUGCACCCUUAUUUAUUAUAUUUUUAUUAUAUACUAAUAAUAUUUA